AAUGGAAAAGUAUGAAUGAACAUUGGAGACAAAAAAUAGAUGGGAAGUCAUGGCCUGUUUUGAGGGAGAGUCAAGGGGAGGAAACAACAGAAUGUAGGUUUUGUUUGCAAUGAUUUAGAAAUGAAAUUUUGAAUAAGUGAUAGGUGCUUGAGGGAGAGAACGGAUGGAGAGAUACGAGAAUAAAUGGAAAGGGUUACAAGGCAGAAAAAGGGAGAGGAAUUAGACGGUCUUCUAGGGGACUACGGUGUUAAACUGAAAACCUUCCUAAGGAAACAUGGGUUGUUGUUUCUAGUGUGUGGAUCAACUUUGUGUGGAUGUGUGGCCAGCUGGUGACUAAAACGUGUGUGACAAUGGUGUACCUCAUCUACUGUAUUAUUAACAAUUGUGUAUUGCAUUUGUGAGUUGUAUGUUGUGUUAAUAGUUAUGUGCGUGUGAGUGGCAAAAUAUGGGUUAGAUUUCACAUCAUUUCCUUGUCACAUUAUCUGCAUGAUUUUUUUUACUGUGUAAUGCAUUAACUUGCUAUAGGUUAUUAAAUGUGUUGUGUAAGUGGAUGGCCAACUUGUGGCUAGAAUGGGUGUGACACCGGGAUAUUAAAUAUACUAUUGUUUAUUUACUGACUUGGAUAAACUGCCCACAAAACGAAUGUUAUGAUGGGUUGUGUGAGUGGCUGGACAACGAUCGUCUAUGUAACAAAUAAAAACGACAUCGUUUUUGGAGACACCCUAAAACGGUGCCAUUUUAGGCCAAAAAAUAGAGGCGCGUUUACCUCUGGUUGGGAAAGGUGAAGAGGAGACCUGCACGCCGAGGAAGAAGGGUCAUGCAGGACUCCUUCUGCCCCUCCCUAUAAAAGGCGAAGGAAGGGAAGGAAAUUCGUGCAGGAAGAGAGAGAAAGAGAGAGAGAAAAAGAGAAAGAGAAAAAGAGAGAGAAAGAAAGAGAGAGAGAAAGAGAGAAAGAAAGAAAGAAAGAGAGAGAGAAAGAGAGAGAGAGAGGAAGAUAGAGAGAGAAAGGCUACGGUUACCAUCAAUUAGCAACCAAAAGAGGAGAGGAAAAAGAAGAAGAAGAAAAAGGAAUAGGAGAGUCUGGUGCUGCGUGCAACGGUGCGUAUGAGAAGAAGAUGAUUUAUGCGGCGGCUCAACAUUUUUUUUACUGUUCUGCGGCUCCCUUCGGUGCAAUUCCACCAAAUCUGUGUCGGAUCUAAGGGCAUGAAGUGCUCUACAGUGAAAUUUUGCCAAUCCAUAGUGGUGAUCACCGGUGAAUGGCUGCGGCGCAUGGCGAUCCGAUGGAGGUGCAUGUGGAGGCGUACGGACUUCCGGUGUUACGCACAGUGAGUCCUAGGAACCCAAUUCGAGUAGGUGGGUUCAAAAAACUAUGAUGAUUUACUAUUUUAUAUUUAGGGUUAAUUAAUCCUAUUUAAUUUUAGUGCAAUAAAUUAUUUAUCCGGUUUAGAAUUAGGGAUAAGUCUGGACAUGAAUGUUUGAAAUUAGGGGAUAACCAAUUCAUUACUAACCCGAUACGGAUAUC
rnacentral:lncRNA from 1 species